GGAACAGUGGAGCAACAAUGGAACUCGCAACAGCUAACAACAAUGGAAAGAAGUAGUUAGUUUUGAGAAUUUAAAGUGGACUACAGGGACAUAUUUUUUGGGGAGGUGGAGAUAAAUUCUGUAGAUUCUUACGAUGAGUGCUAUUGGAUUAGUGACUUAAGGCUUCAUCCAAUUUAAAAAUAUGAGGAAGCAGAUAAUUUGCACAGGCUUUCACUGUAAGACAGUUGGGCCCAAAAUUCAGUUUUCUGACUCUCAGUGACACCCUGUCUCAAAAAAGAAAAAAGAAAACAUCUUCAUUAAUACCAAAGGGUAUUUAAGUUUAUGAGCAUGGUGCAAUGGAUGAGCUUCAUAGUCUGGAUCCAAGAAGGCAAGAGUUAUUGGAAGCUAGAUUUACUGGAGUUGCAAGUGGGAGCACUGGAAGUACGGGCAGUUGCAGUGUUGGAGCUAAAGCCUCAACAAAUAACGAAAGCUCUAAUCACAGUUUUGGAAGCUUGGGAUCUUUAAGUGACAAAGAAUCAGAG
rnacentral:lncRNA from 1 species